rnacentral:rRNA from 1 species
CAAUAGCGUAUAUUAAAGUUGUUGCAGUUAGAACGCUCGUAGUCGGAUUUCGGGGCGGGCCGACCGGUCUGCCGAUGGGUACGCACUGGUCGGCGCGUCCUUCCUUCCGGAGACCGUGCCUACUCUUAACUGAGCGGGGGCGGGAGACGGAUCGUUUACUUUGAAAAAAUCAGAGUGUUUCAAGCAGGCAGCUCGCUCUUGCAUGGAUUAGCAUGGGAUAAUGAAAUAGGACUUUGGUGCUAUUUUGUUGGUUUCGAACACCGAAGUAAUGAUUAAAAGGGACAGUCAGGGGCACUCGUAUUCCGCCGAGAGAGGUGAAAUUCUCAGACCAGCGGAAGACGAACCACUGCGAAAGCAUUUGCCAGGGAUGUUUNCACUG